CCAGGUGCAUCGCCCCGUAGCUAUGUCGGGAACGGAUAACCGCUGAAAGCAUCUAAGCGGGAAGCCAACUCCAAGAUUAGGAAUCGUUAAGGAUCGUGGGAGAUGACCACGUUGAUAGGCGCUCGGUGGAAGUGCAGUAAUGCAUUGAGCCAAGGCGUACUAAUAAUCCAACAGAACU
rnacentral:rRNA from 1 species